GAUGGAAGAAUUUAGAUUCAAUUCAUCCGCCAUCUUGUUCUUCUUCUAUUCUAAUCUGUUAGGCGAGAUCGUGAGGCUUUGGCGUUGCUUGUGUCAUUUACGUAGUUUUUAUAUUGGCAUUUGUGAGAUAUAUUCAAAGUUAUUAAGUGCUGUGUAUUUCUGAAUCAUUUGAAGUUCUACUUUUUUAUCAAAACAUGCCUGGAAAAGGGGAUCGAGAUGAUAUGGAUUUAGAACCUGAACAAAUGCGUAAAAUAUUUAUUGGUGGCUUGGAUUAUGGGACUACAGAAGAAACACUGGAAGCUUACUUUGAACGCUGGGGUGAUAUUGUAGAUUUGGUGGUAAUGAAAGAUCCAUACACCAAGCGAUCUCGAGGUUUUGGAUUUGUCACCUAUGCGCAUUCCGAGAUGGUUGACGAGGCAAUGUCACACAGGCCUCAUAAAAUUGAUGGUCGUGAGGUGGAAACAAAGAGGGCUAUACCGAAAGAUGAGAUAGAGAACAUUCCUCAGCAAGCGAUGGACGUGAAGAAACUAUUUGUUGGUGGCCUCAAACACUUAGAGGAUAGUGACCUUCAGGAGCACUUUACUCAGUUUGGAAAUGUUGUCUCUUGUGAUAUAAUUGUCAAUAGAGACACUGGUGUCAAGCGAGGAUUUGCUUUCAUAGAAUUUGAUGAUACCGAUGCAGUGGACAAAGUCAUUUUGCACAAGAAACAUGAAGUAAAAGGUGUUCGUCUCUUCGUGAAGAAAGCUGUUGAGUGGACUGAGGUGAAAAAAUCUAAAGAUGGCUUCCGAUCUCGUGGAGGUUUCCGAGGUGGAAGGGGUGGCCGAGGAGGUCGGGGAGGGGAUGAUUUCUAUGAGCGGCGAGGCGGCGGUGGAUAUCGGGACGAUUAUGAAGGUGGACGACGUGGUGGCGGAAGAGGCAGAGGAGGGUUCCGACGUGGGGGAGACUUUGACAUGUAUGACUCUGGUUACCGUGGUGGUGGUCGGCGAAGCUACCGAGACGAUGAUGACUGGGAUGAUAGGCCACCACGGCGAGACUUUGGCCGCCGUGAUGAUGACUGGGAAAUGGAUCGUCCCAGUCGCCGUUUUAGGGAUGAUAGCAUGGACCGUGGAUAUGGAGGUGGUGGUGGUGGAGGCGGUGGCGGAGGUGGCGGAGGUGGUGGCGGUAGGUGGGAAAGUGAUUCCCCCAAGAAAGUCGGUUGGGGAGGAGGUGACUCUUGGAGACGAGGCUCUCCAGAUAGAGGUGACUCAGGUUUCGGAGGAGGUAACAGAUAUGGUGGAGGCCCAGUCAGAUCCAGUUUUAAUUCUUCAAACCGCAGUGCACCGUAUGACACAUCUUACCCUCUCAACCGCCGAGGCAGAUACUGAGUUUCUAAGUCGAUCAUGUUCUGUAUACUUCUAAUAAGUGAAGUUUUGCGGAGGUGGUGCCACGGAUCAUCUGACAAGACAGACAACUUUCAGAGCCGAUGUCACCACUAAACACCGGAUAAAACUGAUGGCAUUUGGAGCGGAUAUCACUAAUCAUCUCCACUACAUUUGCAGAUUGGAUAUACAUUUGAGGUACUUUUAUCAGCUGAAGAUAAUAUGACUGUUUUAGGUGUGAACUCAAGUGAAAUAUAAUAAGAUGUAUUUUAACUGUUAAAUAAUGUUUUAACACUAUGAAAUAUAUUCUUGAUGUGACUUA
rnacentral:misc_RNA from 1 species